rnacentral:rRNA from 1 species
AGCGAACGCUGGCGGCAGGCCUAACACAUGCAAGUCGAACGAACCUUUCGGUGUUAGUGGCGGACGUGUGAGUAACACGUGGGAACGUGCCUUUAGGUUCGGAAUAACUCAGGGAAACUUGUGCUAAUACCGAAUGUGCCCUUCGGGGUAAAGAUUUAUCGCCUUUAGAGCGGCCCGCGUCUGAUUAGCUAGUUGGUUGAGGUAAUGGCUCACCAAGGCGACGAUCAGUAGCUGGUCUGAGAGGAUGAUCAGCCACAUUGGGACUGAGACACGGCCCAAACUCCUACGGGAGGCAGCAGUGGGGAAUCUUGCGCAAUGGGCGAAAGCCUGACGCAGCCAUGCCGCGUGAAUGAUGAAGGUCUUAGGAUUGUAAAAUUCUUUCACCGGGGACGAUAAUGACGGUACCCGGAGAAGAAGCCCCGGCUAACUUCGUG